AACCACAGCCAUGUCACCCUGCAGCCCAAGACCAGUUACUCACUGAAGCUAAGCAGGGCUGAGCCUGGUUGGUACCUGGAUGGGAGACCACAAGGGAACACUAGGUUGCUGUUGGAA
rnacentral:rRNA from 1 species